CAGAGUUUCUACCUUAAAAAGGUAAAAAAAAAAAAAUCCUGAGCCCUACUAUCUAUUACUCCUGCUUAUUUUUAAAUUUUUUCAUUGAUAAUACAUGCAUGUGGGAAAAUGGUACAGAAAGGCUCAGGUGACAAGCCCUCAUGAGCUGUCUCCUCUUGGAUGUCCUGUGUGGAGCUGAGCCCCGGGGUUCUGUGGCUUGCAAAUGUGAGGGAAGAUGGGCUGAUGGACACGGCAGGAACCGAAGGACCUUGAUCCUGGGGCACACCGACCAUUGCGAUCACUCAGCUUGGAAUCCUGUUAGAAGGAGCAGAAGGUGCAUGGGAUCUUAGCUCCCCAAGCAGGGAUCGAACCUGCAUCCCC
ensembl:lncRNA